rnacentral:rRNA from 1 species
GAGAAUGCCGGUGUGAGUAGCGAAAGACGGGUGAGAAUCCCGUCCACCGAUUGACUAAGGUUUCCAGAGGAAGGCUCGUCCGCUCUGGGUUAGUCGGGUCCUAAGCUGAGGCCGACAGGCGUAGGCGAUGGAUAACAGGUUGAUAUUCCUGUACCACCUAUAAUCGUUUUAAUCGAUGGGGGGACGCAGUAGGAUAGGCGAAGCGUGCGAUUGGAUUGCACGUCUAAGCAGUAAGGCUGAGUAUUAGGCAAAUCCGGUACUCGUUAAGGCUGAGCUGUGAUGGGGAGAAGACAUUGUGUCUUCGAGUCGUUGAUUUCACACUGCCGAGAAAAGCCUCUAGAUAGAAAAUAGGUGCCCGUACCGCAAACCGACACAGGUAGUCAAGAUGAGAAUUCUAAGGUGAGCGAGCGAACUCUCGUUAAGGAACUCGGCAAAAUGACCCCGUAACUUCGGGAGAAGGGGUGCUCUUUAGGGUUAACGCCCAGAAGAGCCGCAGUGAAUAGGCCCAAGCGACUGUUUAUCAAAAACACAGGUCUCUGCUAAACCGUAAGGUGAUGUAUAGGGGCUGACGCCUGCCCGGUGCUGGAAGGUUAAGAGGAGUGGUUAGCUUCUGCGAAGCUACGAAUCGAAGCCCCAGUAAACGGCGGCCGUAACUAUAACGGUCCUAAGGUAGCGAAAUUCCUUGUCGGGUAAGUUCCGACCCGCACGAAAGGCGUAACGAUUUGGGCACUGUCUCAACGAGAGACUCGGUGAAAUCAUAGUACCUGUGAAGAUGCAGGUUACCCGCGACAGGACGGAAAGACCCCGUGGAGCUUUACUGUAGCCUGAUAUUGAAAUUCGGCACAGCUUGUACAGGAUAGGUAGGAGCCUUUGAAACGUGAGCGCUAGCUUACGUGGAGGCGCUGGUGGGAUACUACCCUAGCUGUGUUGGCUUUCUAACCCGCACCACUUAUCGUGGUGGGAGACAGUGUCAGGCGGGCAGUUUGACUGGGGCGGUCGCCUCCUAAAAGGUAACGGAGGCGCUCAAAGGUUCCCUCAGAAUGGUUGGAAAUCAUUCAUAGAGUGUAAAGGCAUAAGGGAGCUUGACUGCGAGACCUACAAGUCGAGCAGGGUCGAAAGACGGACUUAGUGAUCCGGUGGUUCCGCAUGGAAGGGCCAUCGCUCAACGGAUAAAAGCUACCCCGGGGAUAACAGGCUUAUCUCCCCCAAGAGUUCACAUCGACGGGGAGGUUUGGCACCUCGAUGUCGGCUCAUCGCAUCCUGGGGCUGUAGUCGGUCCCAAGGGUUGGGCUGUUCGCCCAUUAAAGCGGUACGCGAGCUGGGUUCAGAACGUCGUGAGACAGUUCGGUCCCUAUCCGUCGUGGGCGUAGGAAAUUUGAGAGGAGCUGUCCUUAGUACGAGAGGACCGGGAUGGACAUACCUCUGGUGUACCAGUUGUCGUGCCAACGGCAUAGCUGGGUAGCUAUGUGUGGACGGGAUAAGUGCUGAAAGCAUCUAAGCAUGAAGCCCCCCUCAAGAUGAGAUUUCCCAACUUCGGUUAUAAGAUCCCUCAAAGAUGAUGAGGUUAAUAGGUUCGAGGUGGAAGCAUGGUGACAUGUGGAGCUGACGAAUACUAAUCGAUCGAAGACUUAAUCAA